CUAAUGCCACUGCUGAUCUGACAGAAGGUGGAGCUCCAGUGGUAAUGCAAGUGAUGGGGAGUGACUUUAAAUACAGAUGAAGCUUUGCUCACUCACCCCUUUGCUCACCAGGGGUUGGGAACCCCUGGGCUAGAGAUUGGCAGAUAAAGGCACUGAGACACUAACACUGUAUAAUGCUCUUCAGAAGGAUAUCAAUUUUUGACUGCAUAGUUUGUUUUUUCUUUUCUUCUUUUUUAAGAUUAUCUUGGCUAUGUUUUUUGACUAUAUGCAUUUUCAUAUGCAUUUGAGAGCAAACUUGAAAUUUCCCUAAGGAAACUGGGAAUUCUGUUUAAGAUGGUAUCAAAUUUAUAGAUAAAUUGUGGAUAAUAUGAUAUUAAAUUUUCAUAUUAUAACUCUUUCCAGGAAUGAACAUGAUAUAUUCUGCCAUUUAUUUAAGUCUUCUUUCAUCCUCCUCAAAAAUCUUCUAUAAUUUUUUUCGGUUGCAGAGUUCUUGAAUAUCUCUAAUCAAAUUUAUAUUUAUGAUAUUUGGAGUUUUGUAGUUACUAUUGUGAAAGGAAAAUAUCUUGAGG
rnacentral:lncRNA from 1 species